rnacentral:rRNA from 1 species
UUUCCGGUUGAUCCCGCCGGACCUGACUGCUAUCGGAUUGAUACUAAGCCAUGCGAGUCUUUGUAGUAAUACAAGGCAUACGGCUCAGUAACGCGUAGUCAACCUACCCUAUGGACAAGAAUAAUCUCGGGAAACUGAGCAUAAUUCUUGAUAGAUCAUAAUGCCUGGAAUGGUUUAUGGUUAGAAUGAUUCGUCGCCAUAGGAUGGGACUGCGGCCUAUCAGCUUGUUGGUGAGGUAAUGGCCCACCAAGGCGAUAACAGGUACGGGCUCUGAGAGGAGAAGCCCGGAGAUGGGUACUGAGACAAGGACCCAGGCCCUAUGGGGCGCAGCAGGCGAGAAAACUUUGCAAUGUGCGAAAGCACGACAAGGUUAGUCCGAGUGAUUUCUGCUAAAGAGAUCCUUUGCUAGUUAUAAAACCACUAGUGAAUAAGGGGUGGGCAAGUUCUGGUGUCAGCCGCCGCGGUAAAACCAGCACCUCAAGUGGUCAGGAUGAUUAUUGGGCCUAAAGCAUCCGUAGCCGGCUCUGUAAGUUUUCGGUUAAAUCUAUGCGCUCAACGUAUGGGCUGCCGAAAAUACUGCAGAGAUAGGGAGUGGGAGAGGUAGACGGUACUCGGUAGGAAGGGGUAAAAUCCUUUGAUCUAUCGAUGACACCUGUGGCAAAGGCGGUCUACCAGAACACGUUCGACGGUGAGGGAUGAAAGCCUGGGGGAGCAAACCGGAUUAGAUACCCGGGUAGUCCCAGCUGUAAACGAUGCAGACUCGAUGAUGCAUUGGCAUAGCCAGUGCAGUGUCGCAGGGAAGCCGUUAAGUCUGCCG